rnacentral:rRNA from 1 species
AUUGAACGCUGGCGGCAUGCCUUACACAUGCAAGUCGAACGGCAGCACGGGAGCAAUCCUGGUGGCGAGUGGCGAACGGGUGAGUAAUAUAUCGGAACGUGCCCAGUCGUGGGGAUAACGUAGCGAAAGCUACGCUAAUACCGCAUACGAUCUAUGGAUGAAAGCGGGGGAUCGCAAGACCUCGCGCGAUUGGAGCGGCCGAUAUCAGAUUAGGUAGUUGGUGAGGUAAAGGCUCACCAAGCCGACGAUCUGUAGCUGGUCUGAGAGGACGACCAGCCACACUGGGACUGAGACACGGCCCAGACUCCCUACGGGAGGCAGCAGUGGGGAAUUUUUGGACAAUGGGCGCAAGCCUGACCCAGCAAUGCCGCGUGCAGGAUGAAGGCC